GUUCUUUUCCUGCAGGUUUCAUUGAUGUCUGAGUUCCUUUGUAAAGUUAGAGAGCUGGUUCUCUUCCUUAAUUGCUUCCAGAGUUUGAACCUCUAUUUAUUUGACCUAUUGUUCAAGACUCCUCAAACUAGAAUCUACAUACUAUUGUCAAGUAUUAUAGCCAGUUUCCUAUAGGACACACACUAUGUACUUGCACCCCCAUGGGUGUAUUUAACUUGGAUUGGUGGGAUGGAGUUGUAAGUGGCUAAGAUGAUUUUCUAUAGGCUGCACUCAUCUUCAUGGUCAAGCAUGCAGCACCCAGUUGCAACAGCAUCUAUUGAGAUCUUUCUCCGACCAUACAGCAAAAGGGAGAACAAAUUAGUGCAAACCCUUGGCUUUUUAAAUAUAUAUAUUUCAGAGGCAGGGUUAUAACAAGCUACCUGGAAUGGAGUUAUUCAAUAAUGAGACUGCUGAACUAUUUUAUGAAAAGGUUUAGAGGACACCAGGAGGGAGCAGUUAGAGAAAAGAGAUAGAAGAGCUAUGGUAAGCACUGGUGCCAGCCUAUUUCUUUGAGUCAGUGAUGAUUAAUAACAGCCAGGCCUGCAUCACAGGAUUCAGGCUCCAUUCAGAGUCUGAUGUGCAUGAAGACUGGGUGGAUAAGAGGAUUUGGAGUAGAGAGUGCCUCCUG
rnacentral:lncRNA from 1 species